GGGUCGGUAGCUCAGGGGUAGAGCAAGCGGCUGCAGCAUCCUGUAUCCGCUUCCGCUAGGUCCCGCGUUCAAAUCGCGGUCGGCCCU